ensembl:lncRNA uncharacterized LOC114785835
CGCGUCGUGACCGGAAACGCGUCAUCGCGUCAACGCGUCAUCACCGGUCCAUGUUUACCGAACGCUGUUCGCCAUUCACUAAAUUUCUCGCAGUCUCUGGCAAAAUGAGACGGUUAGAAACAUAUUUCAUGCGACCUGACACGAUCUGAUCUCCAGCGGUUUCCGAUCGCUGGAGAUCGCACGAUCUGGUCUCCACUCUGUCCGCAACGCAACAUGAACACAGCUGUGUCACGUCCAUGCGGGCAUGACGCGGCGGGUGAACGGAGAGGAGGACGAAGAGUGACGAGGAAUGGAGGACGCUUUCACCUGACAUCACGGAACAGGGGUUUAAUUAGUGAAUCAC